rnacentral:rRNA from 1 species
AGUGAACGCUGGCGGUAGGCCUAACACAUGCAAGUCGAACGGCAGCACAGUAAUUUCUUGCUCUUACGGGUGGCGAGUGGCGGACGGGUGAGGAAUACAUCGGAAUCUACUUUUUCUUGGGUGUUAACGUAUGGAAACUUACGCUAAUACCUCAUACGACCUACGGGUUAAAUCAUUGGAUCUUCGGACCUUGCGCGAUUUAUUUAGCCGAUGUGGGAUUAGCUAGUUGGCGUGGUAAAGGCCCACCAAGGCGACGAUCCGUAGCUGGUCUGAGAGGAUGAUAAGCAAAACUGGAAGUGAGACACGGACCAGAGUCCUACGGGAGGAAGCAGUGGGGAAUAUUGGACAAUGGGCGCAAGCAUGAUACAGCAAUACCGCGUGGGUGAAGAAGGCCUUCGGGUUGUAAAGACCUUUUGUUGGGAAAGAAAAGCAGCAGGUUAAUACAAAGAUGUUAUGACGGUACCAAAAGAAUAAGCACCGGCUAACUUCGUG